ensembl:lncRNA
UUUAUUUUUUUUUUAAAUCGUGUGUGUGUGUGUGUGUGUGUGUGUGUGUGUGUUAAUCCCCGGGUUGACGGCUGCUUUUUGGUCUCUAAGCUGUUCUCAUCUCUACUAUCUCUGCUACAGUGAAGCUCACAGCCAACGAGAGAGAGGCAGAGAGUGUUUUCCCCUCUUCUCUUUCCCUCUCUGUCCUUUCCUCUAAUCCCCCCUCCCCAGUCUCUCUCCCUCCUCUCUAUUUUUCUCUCGGUGACAGGUCUCUCCCUCCUCUCUAUUUUUCUCUCGGUGACAGGUCUCUCCCUCCUCUCUAUUUUUCUCUAGGUGACAGGUCUCUCCCUCCUCUCUAUUUUUCUCUAGGUGACAGGUCUCUCCCUCCUCUCUAUUUUUCUCUAGGUGCCAGGUCUCUCUCUCCUUUUCUCUCGGUGCCAGGUCUCUCCCUCCUCUCUUUUUCUCUAGGUGCCAGGUCUCUCCCUCCUCUCUUUUUCUCUAGGUGACAGGUCUCUCCCUCCUCUCUCUUUUUAUCUUGGUGACAGGUCUCUCCCUCCUCUCUCUUUUUAUCUUGGUGACAGGUCUCUCUCUCCUCUCUUGCACUAUAUAGAGAAUAGGGCUCUGGUCUAAAGUAGUGCACUAUAUAGAGAAUAGGGCUCUGGUCUAAAGUAGUGCACUAUAUAGAGAAUAGGGCUCUGGUCUAAAGUAGUGCACUAUAUAGAGAAUAGGGCUCUGGUCUAAAGUAGUGCACUAUAUAGAGAAUAGGGCUCUGGUCUAAAGUAGUGCCACUAUAUAGAGAAUAGGGCUCUGGUCUAAAGUAGUGCACUAUAUAGAGAAUAGGGCUCUGGUCUAAAGUAGUGCACUAUAUAGAGAAUAGGGC